rnacentral:rRNA from 1 species
GCAGUCGCCGCGGUAAUACGUAGGUGGCAAGCGUUGUCCGGAAUUAUUGGGCGUAAAGGGCUCGCAGGCGGUUUCUUAAGUCUGAUGCGAAAGCCCCCGGCUCAACCGGGGAGGGUCAUUGGAAACUGGGAAACUUGAGUGCAGAAGAGGAGAGUGGAAUUCCACGUGUAGCGGUGAAAUGCGUAGAGAUGUGGAGGAACACCAGUGGCGAAGGCGACUCUCUGGUCUGUAACUGACGCUGAGGAGCGAAAGCGUGGGGAGCGAACAGGAUUAGAUACCCCCGUAGUCCCUGUCUCUUAUAA